rnacentral:rRNA from 1 species
UACAGAGGUCUCGAGCGUUAGGCGGAAUCACUGGGCUUAAAGCGUGUGUAGGUGGAUGCCUAAGUACCUUGUGAAAUCCCACGGCUUAACCGUGGAACUGCUUGGUAUACUGGGUGUCUUGAGUCACUCAGGGGCGAGCGGAACAAAUGGUGGAGCGGUGAAAUGCGUAGAUAUCGCUUGGAACGCCGAAGGUGAAAACAGGCUGCUGGGGUUGCGCCGACGCUGGAGCACGA